rnacentral:rRNA from 1 species
UACGAAGGGUGCAAACGUUGCUCGGAAUUAUUGGGCGUAAAGGGCGCGUAGGCGGUGCGGUAAGUCACCUGUGAAAUCUCCUGGCUCAACUGGGAGCUUGCAGGCGAAACUGCCGUGCUGGAGUGUGGGAGAGGUGCGUGGAAUUCCGGUGUAGCGGUGAAAUUCGUAGAUAUUGGGAAGAACACCGGUGGCGAAGGCGGCGCUCUGGACCGAGACUGACGCUGAGGCGCGAAAGCGUGGGAGCAACAGG